CGGCGGACGGGUGAGUAAUGCCUAGGAAUCUGCCUGGUAGUGGGGGACAACGUUUCGAAAGGAACGCUAAUACCGCAUACGUCCUACGGGAGAAAGCAGGGGACCUUCGGGCCUUGCGCUAUCAGAUGAGCCUAGGUCGGAUUAGCUAGUUGGUGAGGUAAUGGNUCACCAAGGCGACGAUCCGUAACUGGUCUGAGAGGAUGAUCAGUCACACUGGAACUGAGACACGGUCCAGACUCCUACGGGAGGCAGCAGG
rnacentral:rRNA from 1 species